rnacentral:rRNA from 1 species
GUGAACGCUGGCGGUAGGCCUAACACAUGCAAGUCGAACGGCAGCACCGUAAGAGCUUGCUCUUACGGGUGGCGAGUGGCGGACGGGUGAGGAAUACAUCGGAAUCUACUUUUUCGUGGGGGAUAACGUAGGGAAACUUACGCUAAUACCGCAUACGACCUACGGGUGAAAGCAGGGGAUCUUCGGACCUUGCGCGAUUGAAUGAGCCGAUGUCGGAUUAGCUAGUUGGCGGGGUAAAGGCCCACCAAGGCGACGAUCCGUAGCUGGUCUGAGAGGAUGAUCAGCCACACUGGAACUGAGACACGGUCCAGACUCCUACGGGAGGCAGCAGUGGGGAAUAUUGGGCAAUGGGCGCAAGCCUGAUCCAGCCAUACCGCGUGGGUGAAGAAGGCCUUCGGGUUGUAAAGCCCUUUUGUUGGGAAAGAAAAGCAGCAGGUUAAUACCCCGCUGUUCUGACGGUACCCAAAGAAUAAGCACCGGCUAACUUCGUG